AUAUAACCAGAUCAUUCCUAUCAUUUUAUCACUUCCCAAAAACAACACCAAACACCCCUCAUAUCUUCAUUCCUUCUUCAACCUUCAAGCACAUAAACACUAGCAUUCAUAAUUCCUUCAAGGAAUACUUGUUCUUGGAAGCUUCAACAUCUUUUAGUUUUCUUCAUCAUCUUUACUUUGAUCUUCCCUAGCCUAAGUGCUAGUUGCGUUGACCUUUGUUGAAACUUAUCUCGGCAAGGAUUUUAUUCCUUCCUUUCUUAUGGAUGGAAUCUCCAAUCCUCUAAACGAGAUAAGCAUUUUCAACUUCCUUUCGAAAGCACUUGCCUGGACCGGUAACCCGCAGCUGAUUGAGACUACUACAAAAGUUGAACCGGUCCUUAACCUUUUAACAAAAUUUGUUGUUAUGAUGAUGUUCCGUUUUUUUUUUUUUUUUGAAACAAAUCCAAAUUGAAAGCGGGUGCAGAUGACAAGCCGAAAGUGGGUACAUGUGACAAGUCGAUAGCGGGUGCAGGCCAGGUGUUGGGUUGGUUGUUGGGGAAUAUUAUGAAACCGGACGAUCAGAGAGGCGUGUAUUCACUCUCAGAUCAAAUUAUUUCAGUGAUUCUACCAAAUAAUUCAAUCGGAUACAACUUUGAUUUCGAGAAUUAGAAGAACAAUAUGUGUGUGUCUAGAAUCGUAUGAACCAGUUUUUGACCAAAAAACACAAUUACGAUUAUUGGGGAUAAUCACCAGAUAACUGCUCCUAGGCAGUUAUAUUUCAAAUUUUGAAUUUUAUUUAAACUGCCUAUAACUGCCUUGUUUUUUAUCUACAAAAAUUAUGACGAAUUUUAUAACUUAAACUUUUCUAAGGCAUUUUGAUGCCUUAAUUUUGGUUUUGUUUUUUGAAUCAACGAGAUGGGUGUGUUGGUCUUGCGUUAUUCCUACUCGGUCUCCCCCAAAAUCCUGGAAUGCAAUUCUGGUUUACCUUUCCAUUAUUUAGUUUUCAAACCAUUAUAUGUACAUAAUCACACACCCUCCCUCAUUUUUUCAACAAAAUUUUACAUACAAAAAUGAUGUCAAAGGCUCUAUUUCUCUCUAGUCCUUCUCCUUCCCCCAAUCUGAUGCACUUGCAGCAGAAGGGGUCAUUCAAGAAUGGCUCAUUUGAAAUCAUUGUAGAACCAGGAACGUCACGCUAUGUAAAAGUGUUGACCUUAGUUGAAACUUGCCUCGGCAAGGAUUUUAUUCCUUCCAUUCUUAUGGAUGGAAUCUCCAAUCCUCUAAACAAGAUAAGCAUUUUCAACUUCCUUCCGAAGGCACUUGCCUAGACCGGUAACCCGCAAAAGUUGUACCGGUCCUUAACCUUUUAACAAAAUUUACUGUUAUGAUGUUGUUCUAUUUUUUUUUUUUGGAAACAAGGCCGAAUUGAAAGCGGGUGCAGAUGACAAGCCGAAAGCGGGUACAUGUGACAAGCCAAAAACGGGUGCAGGUGAUGACAAAGGGGCUGGGUUGGUUGUUGGCGAAUUUUAAGAAAUCGGACGAUUAGAGAGGCAUGUAUUCAUUCUCAGAUCAAAUUUUUUCGGUGGUUCUACCGAAUAAGUGAAUCGGAGACAACUUUGAUUUUGAUGUGUGUCUAGAAUUCGUAAGAACCAGAUUUUGACCAAAAAAUCACAAUUACGAAUUUUGGGGAUAAUCUCUAGAUAACUGCGUGUAACUGCCUUAAUUUUUAUCUACAAAACUUAUGACGA